AAAAUACCAGCCAGCCAGCGGCCAUUGUAUCUCAGAAUAUCUGUCUAGCGUGUCGGGAGAAAAUUGACGUUCUGCGAGUGCUGUACGGUUUGAAAGAUCUGCAAGAUUUUUUUGAUAUUACACGGAAUAUUCCUGGUUAUUUAUAUUGAACAAAUGCCGCGUGUAAAUAAAAACAGAAUAGUAUUUUAGUUCUACCAGAAAUGCAUAUUGUUUUAGAAUUCCUUUUGCAAUUUUUCUGUUAAGCUCGCGUACCUUGCUAGCUACUGUACUGAUACGCGCGUCUGUUUCCUUCCAGUCGUCUGAGAAAAAAUCGGUGGAUAUUCCUUCUCUUUUGUUAACCUGUCUUAUUGGCAUUCUUUUCGUAAAUUUGCCUUUUUAGAGUUCUGUUUCUAUUUAGAUGGCAAGCUUCCCAGAUUCUGUAAACGAAAAUGACAUAGGUAAGGCUAAGCCCAUCGGUGAACUCUUGGUGCCUGUUGCUCCUUUUGACCAGAAGUCCGGGCGGGAGACCUGGUCAGUGGCCUUUGCCCCUGAUGGCUCCUACUUUGCUUGGUCACAAGGCCACCGUGUCGUGCGGCUCGUACCCUGGUUCAGAUGCCUCAGCAACUUCUCUGGGGGCAGUGCGGACGCUCCGGGCGGGGCGGGGCCUCGGCGGCUGUCGCGGCAGAACAGCGACGGGAGCCUGGCUCCCAGCAUGCCGCGGGAGCACACCAUCGACUGCGGCGACGUCGUCUGGGGGCUGGCCUUCGGCUCGUCUGUGCCGGAGAAGCAGAGCCGCUGCGUCAACAUCGAGUGGCACCGCUUCAAAUUCGGCCAGGACCAGCUGCUGCUCGCCACGGGCCUCAGCAACGGGCGCAUCAAGAUCUGGGACGUCUACACGGGCAAGCUGCUUCUGAACCUGAUGGACCACACUGACAUCGUGCGGGAUUUGACCUUUGCCCCCGACGGCAGCCUGGUGCUGGUGUCCGCGUCCCGGGACAAGACCCUGCGCGUGUGGGACCUGAAGGACGACGGGAACAUGGUGAAGGUCCUGCGGGGUCACCAGAACUGGGUGUACUGCAGCGCCUUCUCGCCCGACUCCUCGGUCCUGUGCUCCGUCGGGGCGGGGAAAGCGGUGCUCCUGUGGGACAUGGAUAAGUACAGCUUGAUCCGGAAGCUGGACGGUCACCAUAACGACGUGGUCUCCUGCGAGUUCUCGCCCGACGGGGCGCUGCUGGCCACGGCGUCCUACGACACGCGCGUCAUCGUGUGGGACCCCCACCUGGGCACCGUGCUGCUGGAGCUGGGGCACCUGUUCCCUCCCCCCUCGCCGAUAUUUGCCGGCGGAGCCAAUGACCGCUGGGUACGCUCUGUGGCCUUCUGCCACGACGGGCUGAGCAUCGCCACCAUCGCUGACGACAGGCUGGUCCGGUUCUGGAGCAUUGAGGAGAGCUCCCCUCAGGCCCUGGCUGCCCUGCCCAGCGGGCUCUGCUGUGCCUUCUCUACUGACGGCAGCGUGCUGGCUGCAGGGUCCCGGGACGGCAGCGUGCGCUUCUGGGCGUCGCCCCGCUCCAUUGCCAGCCUGCAGCACCUGUGCCGCAUGGCCCUGCGGAGGCUGAUGCCCACCCGGCAGGCGCAGGCCCUGCCCGUCCCCGCCCGCACGGUGGAGUACCUGUGCUACAGGAUCGUCUGAACGCCCUCCCCCCUCCGCCCCCCCCGCACCCCGCCGGGCCCCACCCCCAGGUCCCGCGUCACGGCAUGCUCUGAACCAACAAUGAACCUGCCCCCAAUUUUUUUUUGAAAAAAAAAACGCGAAAAAGACAAAAAAAACUGGAGCGAGAGGAAGAGUUGGGAGGUUUUUGCGAAAGAGGAGAGAGAGAGAAACAGAUUGAGGAAUGUCUGGAAGGGGGAAACUUGACCCGCCGGCCCGUAUUUAUUUAAGCUUGUUGUGUUUUUUUGCUGGGUUUUUUCCGGAGGUGCGGUGGGCCUUCACCAGCGGACUGCGUAAAGCCUUACUCUGUCGCUUGCCUCCGUGCCGACCCCCCCCCCAGCCCGCUGCCGCGCGGUUCAGAACGCUUGGGCGCAGGGGGAGGGGCUCUCACACUUGAAUACGAAGCCGCAGUGUUUUCCCGUCAGGGAGAGCCACGCCCUUCUGCUGUACUAUACCGUCAGGAGGUGGGCGGGGUGUGUGUGUGUGUGUGCCUUGUGUGUGCCUGUGCCUGUGUGUCUGCGUGUGUGUGUGUGUGUGUGCGUGUGUGUGUGUGUGGUGUGUGUGUGUGUGUGUGCAUGUGCAUUUGGGUGUGUGUGUCUGUCUGUGCCUGUGUUUGCUGUGUGUGUGUGCCUUGUGUGUGCAUGUGCGCGUGCGCGUGUGUGUGUGUGUGUGGACGUGUUUCUGUGUGUUUGUUGUGCCUGUGUGUGUGCGUGUGCAUGUGUGAGAGAGAGACACCUUGCUGAACUCCUCAUCGUGGGGGUGAGCUCAUUGUUUAGAGGGGAGUGGGCUAAGCCUUUGUUAUGUGCCUCUUAAAUUCCUCCUGCCCUUGAUGAGGCAAGGGGGGACUUGGGGGGGGGGGGGGUCUUCCCGCUCUUUUCUGAUGCGUAGAAAAGGACUCCUGAGAAUGACCUGCCCCUUGUCUUCUCAGUGUUGGUGAUGCUGGAAGUGGCUACUUUCAUUUGAGAGUUCUGAUUUGUUGAGUGAGUGAUCAGGUAAUAGACCAGUCAGACCUUGGGCCUUUGCUCCUACAGUUAAUCCAAAGUGCAUUUCAGCACACGGUUCACUGCUUUUCUCAGAUCCCAAACACACCUUUCUCGCCGACCAAGACUACACUGAAUGCAGAGACGGAGAAAGAAACAGAGAUGCCGUUAUUCAGAAACGACGCACAGAGAUUCUUCCCUUCCGGUCUGUCUGUUUAAAGUACUGAAAUUAGAAGCCUAGCGUGAUGCUAACCCACAGCGUCCCGUUUAAGGUCCUUGGUGGAAGCAUUUCAGUAUCCUUCAACUCCAAGGCUUUGGUUCGUUGAGCUCCUUUAGACAAGGCCAACGCUGAGCCAGGUGUUCGGGUGUUAAGGAAUGAACUGGCAGGCGUGGCUGGGCUGAAAUAGCCCCCGAAAUCCUCCAGUUCUCCUUUAACGCUCGCUUGCACUCGGUUUCUAAGAGUUAAAAACACAUUUAUUUAAUUGCUGUGAAAAUCCAAAUUCGUGAAAACCCAUGUCAUCUCGUGGGCUGAUCUUUCCGUUUGUCACAUUGUUUUAUAUUUUUUACCUGUACAGAAUUCUGUAAAAAAAAAAAAAAAAAUACUUUAAAAAAACAAACAAUCCUUGUGCAUGUGUAUAUAUGUAUAUAUGCAGUGCAGUCUGUAAGUAUUUGGACAGUGACGCAGUUUCUGUUGUUUUGGUGAUUUUGUUGAUUUUGGCACACACGUGUAAUGUUUUGGCUGUGUCAUCCGAUCGAUUUAUUCAGGUUUUUCCACGCCACGCGAUGGCCUGCUUGUCUGGCAUAGACACUUCCUCGGUCUUCGUGCUGAGAGACAACGGCAACGGACUUCACGCCUAGAAUCAGCUGCAGACAUCUGGUUAGCUUCGUUGUCCGUGACCUAAUGAUGCAACAACGCCCAGCUUGAGCAGCCUGCUGUCCAAUUACUUAAGCCUCCAAUUCACCUCACAUGGUUUCAUUUCAAACCUGAUGUGCUGGAGCACAGAGCCAAAACGACAGAAAAAUGUGCCACUGUCCAUAUACUUACAGACUCCACUGUGUCAUAAUGCUGUGGGGUUUUCUUCACCGUCUUUUUUCUUUCUGAUCCAUUGAACACUAGAAUAUGCGUGUUAAUAAUUUUGUACAUGUUAAUAAAUAAAUUAUAUGUGUGUAUAUAUAUAUAUAUAUAUAUAUAUAUAUAUAUACACAUACAUAUAUAUAAACAUAAUGUAAUGUGAAGAAUCAGUAUUAGAAUGACAUGUUAAUGAUACCGGUGUCUUACUCUUGUGGCCCUUGGUAUGGUUUCAGAGGGUCGGUAACCCCUUCAGAAAGCAGCUGCUGUGCUUUUCCUAUGAACCUCAUUGCUUUUCCGUUCUUGCUCAGUAGGCUUUCGUGUCAAGGGCACCUUCCAUAACGUAACUGGUUUUUUGUGACCUCAUCCAGUUCUGCAGCCGCGCAACUCGGAGUAAAUCUAGCGUCGGGAUGUAAACCUGCUACCCCUCUGCAUGGGUUCAGCCUCUCAUCCCCGACUGAUGGGCUUGAAGUGUUAACGCCUGUUGCCGCUGACUGACUGCAGUCGUAUUUACCGGGUUUUCCGCCGUUCGGUUAUUCUGCUUCUGUGACGACUGUGUCGUCGUUGGUGACUCUCUGCGGUUUAAGCUUGAGACUGCACGCGCUCAGUCUGAAGCUUUCCCCCCGAACCGCUUUGCCUGCAGCUACGGAGCAUGUAGCUUUUCUCCUCCCAGGGUUAACACUAAAUUCUUCAGAGCACAUUUACGCGUGCAACUAAAAGAAAUAUUUUCCAUAUCUACCUCCUUAGGUUGCCGGAGUGCUGCCCCUUGACGUUUUAUCUACGCAACUUCACUCAAAGCGCUUGUUUACAGGGAGGUGAUGACGGUUGUCGCGCGAGUGGGUUGGUCACGCAUGCUCGCGUUGUUUCACUUGUUUUCUGAAGGGGUUACUGUACAAGCAGACGUGGUGGUAUUAAAUAAUAAAAAUGAAGAAUGUGAUUGGCGGGUGAAAUGGGAAAGUGGAAUGUGUAAUAUAAAGGGUAUUUUUUUUGCUGUGUGCGACUCGGUUAAAGGAUUCUUCGGCCACAGUUCCGCCGUCUUGGCAAUAAGUUCUCAUGCAGUUCCCGAACUCGCAGCUGAUGCCAAAGAUGCACUUGGGUUUCCUAUUCUGCGGGUGACAGCCAGUGACGGUCCUCAUUUCGCGUUUUCAUCCGCUGGUGGCUAAAACUUGAAAAUCUGUGCGCUUUUGCGUUAAAUCGUUUUUUUGGGGCUGUGUCAGGUGGACGGGGACUCUUGCUUAUCCGGAGCUCCACAUUCCGCCCAGUGUCUUGUAGCAGUCUUUGUCUUCUAGAAAUAGAGAAGAUAAGCAGGUCUGAACCUUGGAGCCGGAGAGAACUGACGCCCUUGUUCUUACUCACGGAGAAGUGCCCAAAUCAGUCUCCCGAGACAGCAGUAGCAACAAUCUGAAAAAAUCAGUACCAACGAAUGUAUAUUUUCUUUUCUGUGUAUUGUAUUUUUACAGUCUUAAUAAAGCUUUAUUUCACAUCCUAAA